rnacentral:rRNA from 1 species
UGUCUAUUAAUUGUAGACCAGUAUGAAAGGCAACAUGAGAGCCAAACCGUCUCUUACAGCUACUCAAUUAAACUGAUCUUUUAGUCCAAAAGCUAAAAUACCCGUAUAAGACCAGAAGACCCUGUGAAGCUUAAACUAACCCGUUAAACCAAAUAACGGCCACUUUCGGUUGGGGCGACCUUGGAAUAAAAAAGAACUUCCAACACAAUGAGCAUUCCUCAUACCACGGCCAACAAGCCACAAUACGACCCAGUCCACUGACUAAUGAACCAAGUUACUCCAGGGAUAACAGCGCCAUCUUCUUCAAGAGCCCAUAUCAAAAAGAAGGUUUACGACCUCGAUGUUGGAUCAGGACAUCCUAGUGGUGCAGCCGCUACCAAGGGUUCGUUUNUUCAACGAUUAACAGU